CGCCGCGCGCGGCAAACUGCACGCCUUCACGGCCGCCGCACCCCUUCCCCCUCUUGCCAAACAAACCCAAUUGUUUAUUCAUCUUAUUAAAAUCAUUAAUCUUCACGACGAAUUUUUCUUCCCUGCGACGGGGGGCGCUUGAUGGUCGACAUCCGACGGCCCACGGAAAAGGGCAAACGCGAAAUUUUUUACGCCCUGCCCGGCUGCUGCUACGCUACGGCCGCGGGGUCAAGGUGGGCGCCGCCGCCGCCUGCCGCCCACCGCCGCCCGCGUGCGCCCACCGCCUAAAGGACUCUCUCCUCCUCCAUUAUAACCCCCCGCACCGGGCCCUCCGCCACCACCUCGCCAUGACGACUUCCCCUCCUUCUCCCACAACCAACGCGAUGAUGCCCUCCGCCCGCCGCGUGCCGCCCCCGUGCUGGACCCCCGACGAGACCCUCGCGCUCGCCCGCGCCUACACCGCGCGCCGCCUCGCCGUCGGCCGCGCCCACCUCGCCUCCGCCGACUGGGCCGCCGUCGCCGCCGAGGCCACCCCCUCCAAGACCGCCAGGCAGUGCCGCCACAAGAUCGAGAAGCUCCGCCGCCGCCUCCGCUCCAAGCGCCGCCGCCCCUUCCCGCUCCUCGACGGCAUAGAUCUGCUCGACGACCCUUCCCCGUCGCCCUCCCACUCCCGCUCCCAAUCCCCGUCCCCGCCGCCACCGGCUUCCCCGCCUCCUCCCUCCGCCUCCCCGCCUAAGAAGAGGAAACGGCCCGAUGCCGCGGAGAGCGACGUGGUCAAGGCGCUGAAGGCGAUCGGAGAGGGGUUCGUGCGCGCGGAGCUGAGGAGGAUGGAGGCGGCGAGAGAGACGCAGCGGAUGCGCAUGGAGAUGGCGCUGCGACACCUCGACGCCCAGCGGCAGCUCGUGGACGGCCUUGUUGGCCGCAUCGUCGACGCGCUGGAAUGAAACGGUGGCACAAAGCCAAAUCAGCUAAAGAAGAUGAUGGCAGGAAAAAAUGGCUCGAGAAAAGGAUGAAAGCUUACAUGGGGUAAGUGUCAGGAGAUGCUUCAUUGAGAUCCCCGAUGGUGCUCAUAGGCUGUUAUUGCAACCUUGAGACCAUCAUCUGUUGACUACCUUUUUCGAAAGGAAGAUUCUUUGGAUGAUGUGUAGCCAAGGGUACCAGAUAUUCAUUUUUUGCAGGAGAUGAACGCAAGUGCCAUUUAAGUAGGAUUUAGGACCACCAUUAAAGUGAGUGGUCCUUAGCAUGCUUCCAUCCAUCCUUUAUCACCUACCUGGCUUGUUCAACAACUGAGCUACCACCUGAGAUGAGUAGCAAGAAAUGAAAAUUGAGUGAACACUUCUCUCAUGCUUGUUUGUGGGAAUACCGGAAUAGUGUCUGAACUGGUGGCACAUUUCUUGAACAGGUAAAUGAAAUGUUUAUAUAGUAUCUUGCUUCAUUGGCAAGGUAACAUUUGAUUUAAGCAUCACAUUGCUUUUGGACUGGAGUAUAACAUCAGGCAGUGAAUUGUAUCCGUUGUUAAUACAUGGAUUAAAUUGUUGUGGAAUGCUUAGGAAAAGUACUAUUGAGUUGGCACGUUGCUCCGCCUCCUUUUGCUAUUUAGCAUGGAAACUUGAUGUACGAAUUGCUGAAGGAGAAUUGCUUGGAUGGAGGAUUGUAGCAAAUUAGAUAAUCGCACCAAUCAAGCAUAGAACGAUCCUUUCAGUUUUGAAUAUUUAGUAGAUACGUUUUGAAACAUAAAAUUGAGGGACCUUGUAGAAGAAACUACUGUUCUUAUUAAUAUAGAAGGAAUAUGUACCCUUGAAGCUACGAGGACUUAAGCUUGAGUGGUGGGAUUGUUGUACAUCUAUUUCGAUGGACAGUCACCCUUCUGUUGAAUAGGUUCUAGAUUUUAGUACAAUUAGUUGACUUCCCUUUGUUCAUUGGACUGUAAUCUGAUACUCUCUCCGUUUCUAAAUACUUGUCGCUGUUUUAGUGCAAGUUUGUACUAAAACAGCGACAAGUAUUUAGGAACAGAGGGAGUAGUAGUUAUGUGACACAUCACUAUUACUCAGAACUCAGUUUUCUUAAAGAUUGAAGAUCGCAUGGUUCGCUCUC